UACGGAGGGGGCUAGCGUUGUUCGGAAUUACUGGGCGUAAAGGGUCUGUAGGUGGCCAACUAAGUCAGACGUGAAAUCCCUCAGCUUAACUGGGGAACUGCGUCUGAUACUGGAUGGCUUGAGUGUGGGAGAGGAAUGCGGAAUUCCAGGUGUAGCGGUGAAAUGCGUAGAUAUCUGGAGGAACACCGGUGGCGAAGGCGGCAUUCUGGACCAUAACUGACACUGAGAGACGAAAGCCAGGGGAGCAAACGGG
rnacentral:rRNA from 1 species